rnacentral:rRNA from 1 species
GUGGGGAAUAUUGGACAAUGGGCGAAAGCCUGAUCCAGCCAUGCCGCGUGUGUGAAGAAGGUCUUCGGAUUGUAAAGCACUUUAAGUUGGGAGGAAGGGUAGUAACCUAAUACGUUGCUACUUUGACGUUACCGACAGAAUAAGCACCGGCUAACUUCGUGCCAGCAGCCGCGGUAAUACGAAGGGUGCAAGCGUUAAUCGGAAUUACUGGGCGUAAAGCGCGCGUAGGUGGUUCAGUAAGUUGGAAGUGAAAUCCCCGGGCUCAACCUGGGAACUGCUUUCAAAACUGCUGAGCUAGAGUACGGUAGAGGGUGGUGGAAUUUCCUGUGUAGCGGUGAAAUGCGUAGAUGUAGGAAGGAACACCAGUGGCGAAGGCGACCACCUGGACUGAUACUGACACUGAGGUGCGAAAGCGUGGGGAGCAAACAGGAUUAGAUACCCCUGUAGUCC